GGUGAAAGGCUUGCUGCCUGAAGAAGAGCUUGCGUCUGAUUAGCUAGUUGGUGGGGUAAGAGCCUACCAAGGCGACGAUCAGUAGCUGGUCUGAGAGGAUGAUCAGCCACACUGGGACUGAGACACGGCCCAGACUCCUACGGGAGGCAGCAGUGGGGAAUUUUCCGCAAUGGGCGAAAGCCUGACGGAGCAAUACCGCGUGAGGGAGGAAGGCUCUUGGGUUGUAAACCUCUUUUCUCAGGGAAGAAAAAAUGACGGUACCUGAGGAAUAAGCAUCGGCUAACUCCGUGCCAGCAGCCGCGGUAAUACGGAGGAUGCAAGCGUUAUCCGGAAUGAUUGGGCGUAAAGGGUCCGCAGGUGGCAUUGUAAGUCUGCUGUUAAAGAGUUUGGCUCAACCAAAUAAAAGCAGUGGAAACUACAAAGCUAGAGUGUGGUCGGGGCAGAGGGAAUUCCUGGUGUAGCGGUGAAAUGCGUAGAUAUCAGGAAGAACACCGGUGG
rnacentral:rRNA from 1 species